AUAUCUCUCCGUACGGGAAGGAUGAGAAGCUUCGACUAAGGUUCGAUUCGAGCGCAGCGAGAAAGCGUUGCCGCAGGCAACGACCCGAAGGGCGAAGCGCGCAGCGCUGA
rnacentral:sRNA from 1 species